UCCCUACUCCCUCCUCCCUCCUCAAGUCCUUCCCUCUCAGAGAGUCAAAUCUCAACUGAUGAACUCAUCCCUCUUCCUUUCAUAUCACAAGAUCCAUUCACUUCCUUCAAUUUAUCGCAAAUUCUAGCACCCGUACUGAAAAUUCACCAAUUAAAGGCGAAGGAUGGAGCUGACGUUAACGCGCCCUGAUGAUUGGCAUCUGCAUCUCCGUGACGGAAACCUUCUUGCCGCCGUUGCUCCGUUCAGUGCAAGGCAUUUUGGGAGGGCAAUUGUUAUGCCGAAUCUAAGGCCUCCUGUUACUACUACAGCUGCUGCUAUCGCGUACCGAGAAUCGAUUUUGAAGGUUAUGCCUUCCGGUAGCCAAUUUGAUCCUCUUAUGACACUCUAUUUGACUGAUACUACUAGUCCUAAUGAGAUCAAGCUUGCCAGAGAAAGUGGGGUGGUUUAUGCUGUCAAAUUAUACCCUGCCGGUGCAACAACUAAUUCACAGGAUGGUGUCACUGAUCUUUUUGGAAAGUGUUUGCCUGUGCUCCAAGAGAUGGCUGAGCAGAAUAUGCCUCUCUUGGUCCACGGGGAGGUCACAGAUCCUGCUGUAGACAUAUUUGAUCGUGAAAAAGUAUUUAUCGAGACAGUUCUAGGACCUUUAGUACAAAAACUACCACAGCUAAAAGUUGUGAUGGAGCAUAUCACUACAGCGGAUGCUGUCAAGUUUAUUGACUCAUGCAGUGAAGGAACUGUUGCAGCUACAGUGACGCCACAGCACCUUAUUCUGAAUAGGAACUCUCUGUUCCAAGGAGGCUUGCAGCCGCAUAACUACUGCCUUCCGGUGCUAAAAAGAGAAAUUCAUAGGCAGGCAAUUGUUUCAGCAGUAACCAGCGGGAGCAACAAAUAUUUUCUUGGGACUGAUAGUGCUCCUCAUGAGAAGUGGAAGAAAGAAUGUUCUUGCGGAUGUGCUGGAAUCUUUAAUGCCCCUGUUGCUAUUUCACUAUAUGCCAAAAUAUUUGAAGAGGCUAAUGCACUUGACAAGUUAGAGGCAUUUACAAGCUUCAAUGGACCUGAUUUUUAUGGUCUUCCAAGGAAUACAUCGAAGAUCAAGUUGAUAAAAGAACCAUGGAAGGUUCCAGAGUGUAUAUCUUUUCCAUUUGGAGAAAUUGUUCCUAUGUUUGCUGGGCAAAUGCUUGACUGGCAGACAUCUUCUUGAUACUGCUCUGUGCAUGGAGAACGAACUCUGAUCGUCGCUUGCGCUUUUCCCGGAGGCAUUCAAAGUAGAUGCCGAAGAUGAAGCUGAAACAUCAUCUGAAAUUUUGACUGUUGUAUGAGAAGUUUGGCGGCGUGUGGCGGUUGGUCCUUGACCUUCAGGUUGAAUCUCAUGGGAAGAAGUAUUAGUACCAGACUUAGCAGAUGAAACUGAAUCAUGUUGUUCAGACUCUUUUUUUGGAAGCUGUUGGUUGUCCAUGUUUUUGAGACUACUAAGUAUAGAUUUCUGCUCCAAAAGGUGCAACAAGUCUCAAUGUAGCAAGAUUUUGGGAGGACAGGAUUAAGAAGUAUCAUAUGACUGGGUUGGUGCUUGAAUUGCUGAAUUAACUACUGUAUAGUUUUUGUACUAUGCUUUGGCUCUUUGUAUUUGUAAAUUGUAAUGGCACAGCCACAGAGGCACUGGGGGGCCUCGGCCUUGGGGCACACUAGUAAAAAUGUUAAAAAUAGUCUUUUCUCAA